UUUUUUAAAUAACAAGGUCUU
rnacentral:piRNA from 1 species